rnacentral:rRNA from 1 species
UCCCGUUGAUCCUGCGGGAGGUCGCUGCUAUUAGAAUCCGAUUUAACUAAGCUAGAUCAGGGGCUUUCUUCGGAAAGCACCGGCAGACAGUUCCGUAACACGUCAAUAAUCUGCCCUUGGGUCAGGGAUAAUCUUGGGAAACUGAGGCUAACACCUGAUAGGGGAUAAAUACUGGAAUGUAUUAUCCUUAAAAAGCAAUGCCUAAGGAUGAGUUGGCGCCCGAUUAGAUUGUUGGUGGGGUAACGGCCCACCAAGUCUAAGAUCGGUAGGGGCCUUGAGAGAGGUAGCCCCGAGGAGGACACUGAGAUAAGGGUCCUGACUCUACGGAGUAUAGCAAGUGCGAAACCUUUACAAUGCACGCAAGUGUGAUAAGGGGAUUCUGAGUGCCUAUGCUUUGCAUAGGCUUUUGCCAAGUGUAAAAAGCUUGGAGAAUAAGUGGUGGGCAAGACUGGUGCCAGCAGCCGCGGUAACACCAGCGCCACAAGUGGGGACCAGCAUUAUUGGGCUUAAAGCGUUCGUAGUCGGAUCAAUAAAUCCUAUGUGAAAUUGUUUUGCUUAACUUAACAACGUGCAAAGGACACUGUUGAUCUUGAGACCGGGAGGAGUUAGAAGUAUUCUUGGGGUAGCGGUAAAAUGCAAUAAUCCUAAGAGGACUACCAGUAGCGAAGGCGUCUAACUAGAACGGGUCUGACGAUGAGGAACGAAAGCCAGGGGAGCGAACCGGAUUAGAUACCCGAGUAGUCCUGGCAGUAAACGCUGUGAGUUAGGUGUUCAUAUUCUUCGUGAAUAUGCAGUGUCGUAGCGAAAGUGUUAAACUCACCGCCUGGGUAGUACGGUCGCAAGACUGAAACUUACAGGAAUUGGCGGGGGAGCACAACAAGGGGUGCGGCGUGCGGUUUAAUCCAACUCAACGCGGAGAAUCUCACCAGAGGCGACGGCAGGAUGAAGGUCAGUUUGAAGGUCUUACCUGACAAGCCGAGAGGUGGUGCAUGGCCGUCGUCAGCUCGUGCCGUGAGGUGUCCUGUUAAGUCAGGCAACGAGCGAGACCUGUACCCACAAUUGCCAGCAACAGAAUUUCUGGAUUGGGCACAUUGUGGGGACUGCCUUGGAAACAAGGAGGAAGGUGCAGGCAACGGUAGGUCUGUAUGCCCCGAAUCCUCUGGGCUACACGCGCGCAACAAUGGUAAAGACAAAGGGAUGCAACUCCGAAAGGAGAAGCUAAUCCUCCAAACUUUAUCUCAGUCCAGAUUGAGGAUUGUAACUCAUCCUCAUGACGACGGAAUCCCUAGUAAUCAGAUUUUAUCAUAAUCUGGUGAAUAUGUCCCUGCUCCUUGCACACACCGCCCGUCAAACCAACCGAGCAGGGUUUUGAUGAAACUCAUCGUUUAGGUGAAGUGAAUCAGAGCUCAGUGAGGUGGGUUAAGUCGUCACAAGGUA